CACGUAUUUAGCCGUCACUUCUUCUGUUGGUACCGUCAUUUUUUCUUCCCAACUGAAAGCACUUUACAUUCCGAAAAACUUCAUCGUGCACACAGAAUUGCUGGAUCAGACCCUCGGUCCAUUGUCCAAUAUUCCCCACUGCUGCCUCCCGUAGGAGUAAGGGCCGUGUCUCAGUCCCCUUGUGGCCGUUCACCCUCUCAGGCCGGCUACCCAUCAUCGCCUUGGUGAGCUGUUACCUCUCCAACUAGCUAAUGGGACGCAAAGCUCUCUCACAGUGCUUAUAGCUUUCAUAAUUCUAAGAUGCCUUAAAAUCAUAAUAUCAGGUAUUAGCUAUUCAUUUCUAAAUGUUGUCCCUAGCUGUGAGGCAAGUUCUUACGCGUUACUCACCCGUCGCCACCCAAAUCUAAGUUAAAAACCCAAUUACAAGUUGACUUGACAUGUGUUAAGCAUUCUGUCAGUCGUUCAUUCCUGACGCCAGGAUCAAAACUCUA
rnacentral:rRNA from 1 species